rnacentral:rRNA from 1 species
CCUACGGGCGGCAGCAGUAGGGAAUCUUCCACAAUGGGCGCAAGCCUGAUGGAGCAACACCGCGUGAGUGAAGAAGGGUUUCGGCUCGUAAAGCUCUGUUGUUGGAGAAGAACGUGCGUGAGAGUAACUGUUCACGCAGUGACGGUAUCCAACCAGCAAGUCACGGCUAACUACGUGCCAGCAGCCGCGGUAAUACGUAGGUGGCAAGCGUUAUCCGGAUUUAUUGGGCGUAAAGCAAGCGCAGGCGGUUGCUUAGGUCUGAUGUGAAAGCCUUCGGCUUAACCGAAGAAGGGCAUCGGAAACCGGGCAACUUGAGUGCAGUAGAGGACAGUGGAACUCCAUGUGUAGCGGUGGAAUGCGUAGAUAUAUGGAAGAACACCAGUGGCGAAGGCGGCUGUCUGGUCUGCAACUGACGCUGAGGCUCGAAAGCAUGGGUAGCGAACAGGAUUAGAUACCCGAGUAGUC